CCAAACUCAGUAUUUUACAUGUAGUUCCAUCUAGGAUAAAAAUAGCCACGAGGGGAUUAUGUGCCUCUUCAUCAGGUCUUCCCCAAGCCAGUCGCCAGUCCAGAAGAGAAACACCUAAAUAUGCUGAGACAGACAAACAUACAAACUCCACAUUUAAAGGCUCCAGGCUGAGAUUUUCAUCUUGUUGUGAGGCAACAGCAUUAAGAGCAACUCCACAGUGAAAUCCUGGUUCAAUUUACUUUGUCUGUAUUAGCACCUAAUCACAACAAACAGUGAUCUUAGGGAACUACUAUUAAAAACAAACAGGUCUGAUUGAAUUCCAGUCAUAUUAAGCAAUCAUUGAAUUAAUAUUUGUUUAAAAAAAAAAUCAAAUUCUUCAAGACAAAAUUGUGUUGGUCAGAUAUACAAACAGAAAUUUGCAUGCUAGACAUUCCAGGUAUUUUUUUUUGUGUGAACAAUCUUGACAACUCAGAUUACUUGCACUCUAGAAAUCUGCAUUAUGUUAUGUUUUUCUUGUGUGAUACAAUAAUAAUAAUUAUAGUUUGUGUUUGUAAUGGAACAAAAUGUUAUAAAGUACAAAAAAUAGGAUUGCUACUGUAAAGGACUGUAACUGUGUGCACUUACCAGUGUAGUUUAAUUUACCAGCAAGAUAUUUCUUGUAGAGUUAGGAAGAAUCCAGGAGAAUAAAAAUUAAAAACAUCUAUUGACAAAGAGGAAAGGUUUCAGGUAUAAAACAGUAAUCCUUUGCCAUAUUGUUCAUAUAAAAACACAUUACAAUACAGUCAUGUCUACAGUCUCUCUGUAAAUUGCGUUUUUAUUAUGGGGAAAAAAAAACAUGCUAAAUGAGUCAUUUGUCAUUUUUGUCCCACUUUACUGGUUGUCCGGUAAGCAAACACAAGAAAUACAUCCCACUGUAGAAAACCUGUUUAUUAGACAAAUUAUACACAGAAAGCUUUGCCACUUGUAACAGAGGCCCCAGUUUGUUUCGGUUUUUGAAUAUUAUGCAACACAUACAACAAAAUAGGCCUAUAUUAAAUACUGUACAUCAUAAAUUCUGGAAAAUUAUCAAGUAAAUCCUGUAGUUCUAUGUAAGAAAUCAAAAAUGUUAACAGACAGCUAAGACAGCAAGUUUGUGCAUGCUUUCUUUUUAGUGAACUUGCCAAGUUUUGUUAUUUAGCCAGAAAAAAGAAGUCUGAAUGAUAUGAUUAAAACAA